GGGCCGCCGGCUGCUAUUAACUCCUUUUAGUGAGUGGCCUGGACAGCCCAGCCUGCUCAUUCACUGUAUUCUGUGCUUGAGUAUACAUUAUUCAUCACUGAGUCGGGGUCUGCAGGACAGACGCAAACAGGUGGUGACCCCGACAGUGGUGCCCCACGUGAGGAAACCCAGCAGGUGCAGAGGUCACGGCAAGUGAACUCACCGUGACCAUCACUGCAAAGGCAGCCCGACGGAGCCCUCAAAAACGAAGGUGCAAAGGACUGCACGGUGAAUUCAGUAAACAAGGUUGGCUGUUUGCAUCAACAAUAAGAAAGUCAAAGAUUCAGAUGUAGAAGAAAACGCAGCUCAAGUGAAAGGAAGUGGAAAUAUAAAUUAAAGAAAUGCUACAAUGAGCAUCAUUGUAAAUAUUUUCUCAGGCAGAGAUUCAGAUUCUGAAGAAUGACAAGCUGCCAGUUUGGACUCCCUCUGCUCCCUUUUAAGAUGCAGUGGGGAUACUCAAUGCUAUUAUUAGUAAGGAUGAAUUCAAGGCCUCUUUUCAUGAGUUCCAAUUGUAACAAUCAUCAUAAUGCAUAAGCAUAAUGUACUUUUUAUUAUACAUAUCAAAAUGAUUUUGUAUAGAGGCCUUCCAGGGAGAAUCAAUAUAAAGGGAAAUGGAGGGAAAAUUUCACUGUGUAUAGGGUAAGACUCACAAUCGAGCAAUUAAAGGCAAACAAUGUACUAAAUCUGA